AUAUCAAUAAGCGGAGGAAAAGAAACUAACAAGGAUUCCCCUCAGUAACGGCGAGUGAAGCGGGAAGAGCUCAAAUUUAAAAUCUGGUUUGCUUGCAAGUCCGAGUUGUAGUCUGAAGAAACGUUUUCCAUGAAAGCACUGAGGCACAAGUCCUUUGGAACAGGCAUCAUAGAGGGUGAGAAUCCCGUCCAUGGUCUCAGUGCAUUUCAUUUUGUGAUACGUUUUCUAAGAGUCAGGUUGUUUGGGAAUGCAGCCUAAAAUGGGUGGUAAAUUUCAUCUAAAGCUAAAUAUUGGCGAGAGACCGAUAGCGAACAAGUACCGUGAGGGAAAGAUGAAAAGAACUUUGAAAAGAGAGUUAAAACAGUAC
rnacentral:rRNA from 1 species